GACGAACGCUGGCGGCGUGCUUAACACAUGCAAGUCGAACGGAAAGGCCCUGCUUUUGGGGUGUUCUCGAGGGGCGAGCGGGUGAGUAACACGGGAGUAACCUGCCCUUGACUGGGAGAUAACUGCAGGAAACUGGGUCUUAUACCGUAUGAGAGCGCCUGCGGCGGGGUGGUGGUUGGAAAGGUUCGGCUGUUGGGGAUGGACUCGCGGAUUAUCAGCUUGUUGGUGGGGUAGUGGCUUAACAAGGCUUUGACGGGUAGCCGGCAUGAGAGGGUGAGCGGCAACAUUGGGACUGAGAUACGGCCACGACUCCUACGGGCGGCAGUAGUGGGGAAUAUUGCACAAUGGGAGGCCGCAUGCUGCAGCAACGCCGCGUGCGGGAUGACGGCCUUCGGGUUGUAAACCGUCUUCGACUGUGACGCAGCGUGAGUGACGGUAAUGGGUAAAGAAGCACCGGCUAACUACGUG
rnacentral:rRNA from 1 species